CAGAGCUGUGGAGUGUGACAAUGGUGUUUGUGUCCAGUUUAUCAAACGCCAUUAUCACACUAAAUAGCUACUG
rnacentral:pre_miRNA from 1 species